rnacentral:rRNA from 1 species
CCUACGGGUGGCAGCAGUAGGGAAUAUUGCUCAAUGGGCGAAACCCUGAAGCAGCAACGCCGCGUGGAGGAUGAAGGUUUUCGGAUUUUUAACUCCUUUUGUUAGAGAAGAUAAUGACGGUAUGUAACGAAUAAGCACCGGCUAACUCCGUGCCAGCAGCCGCAGUUAUACGGAGGGUGCAACGGUUACUCGGAAUCACUGGGCUUAAAGCGCGCGUAGGGGGGAUAGCAAGUCAGAUGUGAAAUGCUAUGGGUUAACCAUAGAACUGCAGUUGAAACUGUUAUUCUAGAGUAUGGGAGAGGUAGGUGGAAUUCGUGGUGUAGGGGUGAAAUGCGUAGAGAUCAAGAGGAAUACUGAGUGCGAAGGCGACAUGCGAGAACAUAACUGACGCUGAUGCGCGAAAGCGUGGGGAGCAAACAGGAUUAGAUACCCUAGUAGUC